AAUGGCUCAUUAAAUCAGUUAUCGUUUAUUUGAUAGUACCUUACUACUUGGAUAACCGUGGUAAUUCUAGAGCUAAUACAUGCUAAAAACCCCAACUUCGGGAGGGGUGUAUUUAUUAGAUAAAAAACCAAUGCCCUUCGGGGCUCCUUGGUGAUUCAUGAUAACUUCUCAGAUCGCAUGGCUUUACGCCGGCGACGGUUCAUUCAAAUUUCUGCCCUAUCAACUUUCGAUGGUAAGGUAUUGGCUUACCAUGGUUUCAACGGGUAACGGGGAAUUAGGGUUCGAUUCCGGAGAGGGAGCCUGAGAAACGGCUACCACAUCCAAGGAAGGCAGCAGGCGCGCAAAUUACCCAAUUCCGAUACGGAGAGGUAGUGACAAUAAAUACUGAUACAGGGCUCUUUUGGGUCUUGUAAUUGGAAUGAGUACAAUUUAAACCUCUUAACGAGGAACAAUUGGAGGGCAAGUCUGGUGCCAGCAGCCGCGGUAAUUCCAGCUCCAAUAGCGUAUAUUAAAGUUGUUGCAGUUAAAAAGCUCGUAGUUGAACCUUUGGCCUGGCUGGCAGGUCCGCCUCACCGCGUGCACUUGUCCGGCCGGGCCUUUUCUUCUGGAGAACCGCAUGCCCUUCACUGGGUGUGUUGGGGACCAGGACUUUUACUUUGAAAAAAUUAGAGUGUUCAAAGCAGGCCUUUGCUCGAAUACGUUAGCAUGGAAUAAUAAAAUAGGACGUGCGGUCCUAUUUUGUUGGUUUCUAGGACCGCCGUAAUGAUUAAUAGGGACAGUCGGGGGCAUCAGUAUUCAAUUGUCAGAGGUGAAAUUCUUGGAUUUAUUGAAGACUAACUACUGCGAAAGCAUUUGCCAAGGAUGUUUUCAUUAAUCAGUGAACGAAAGUUAGGGGAUCGAAGACGAUCAGAUACCGUCGUAGUCUUAACCAUAAACUAUGCCGACUAGGGAUCGGGCGGUGUUUCUAUUGUGACCCGCUCGGCACCUUACGAGAAAUCAAA
rnacentral:rRNA from 1 species